GAGUCCAGGCCACCACUUCUGUCCUGGGUAGUUCUGACCCUGAGGGUGGGGACCCUGCUCCUACCCCCAGGGAGCCAGAGUCUGAGGGGAGAUGUCAACUCAUUCCCGGUGAGCCCCAACUUUCAGAGGGAAGGAAGGUCCUUGCCCUCAGGAUCUCUUAAAAAUCGCCUGUCCCCACAAGCUGGAACUUGAGGGCGCCACCAGGUUCCAGAUGCUACUGUGAUGCCAGCUGGACUUCCCUGAACAGACGACACCACCAGUGUGUCCUGGAGCCCUGCUUCUCCAGAGCUCCACCACACUAGGGAAAGAGACUGGGAGUAUGGAUCGACCUGCCAACACCCAUGUUCAGAGGGAAAGCAAUUACAGAAGCCAGACCUUCUGCCUUCUGCAUCCCACAAUGACCCUGGGUCCAUGUUCCCAGAGGGAUAAAGAAU